UACGUAGGGUGCGAGCGUUGUCCGGAAUUAUUGGGCGUAAAGGGCUCGUAGGCGGUUUGUCGCGUCGGGAGUGAAAACGCCGUGCUUAACACGGCGCUUGCUUUCGAUACGGGCAGACUAGAGGUAUUCAGGGGAGAACGGAAUUCCUGGUGUAGCGGUGAAAUGCGCAGAUAUCAGGAAGAACACCGAUGGCGAAGGCAGCUCUCUGGGACGGUACUGACGCUGAGACGCGAAAGCGUGGGGAGCGAACAGG
rnacentral:rRNA from 1 species